rnacentral:rRNA from 1 species
AGUUUGAUCCUGGCUCAGGAUGAACGCUGGCGGCGUGCCUAACACAUGCAAGUCGAGCGAUUCUCUUCGGAGAAGAGCGGCGGACGGGUGAGUAACGCGUGGGUAACCUGCCCUGUACACACGGAUAACAUACCGAAAGGUAUGCUAAUACGAGAUAAUAUACUUUUAUCGCAUGGUAGAAGUAUCAAAACUUUUGCGGUACAGGAUGGACCCGCGUCUGAUUAGCUAGUUGGUAAGGUAACGGCUUACCAAGGCGACGAUCAGUAGCCGACCUGAGAGGGUGAUCGGCCACAUUGGAACUGAGACACGGUCCAAACUCCUACGGGAGGCAGCAGUGGGGAAUAUUGCACAAUGGGCGAAAGCCUGAUGCAGCAACGCCGCGUGAGCGAUGAAGGCCUUCGGGUCGUAAAGCUCUGUCCUCAAGGAAGAUAAUGACGGUACUUGAGGAGGAAGCCCCGGCUAACUACGUGCCAGCAGCCGCGGUAAUACGUAGGGGGCUAGCGUUAUCCGGAAUUACUGGGCGUAAAGGGUGCGUAGGUGGUUUCUUAAGUCAGAGGUGAAAGGCUACGGCUCAACCGUAGUAAGCCUUUGAAACUGGGAAACUUGAGUGCAGGAGAGGAGAGUGGAAUUCCUAGUGUAGCGGUGAAAUGCGUAGAUAUUAGGAGGAACACCAGUUGCGAAGGCGGCUCUCUGGACUGUAACUGACACUGAGGCACGAAAGCGUGGGGAGCAAACAGGAUUAGAUACCCUGGUAGUCCACGCCGUAAACGAUGAGUACUAGCUGUCGGAGGUUACCCCCUUCGGUGGCGCAGCUAACGCAUUAAGUACUCCGCCUGGGAAGUACGCUCGCAAGAGUGAAACUCAAAGGAAUUGACG